rnacentral:rRNA from 1 species
UACGGGGGGGGCAAGCGUUGUUCGGAAUUACUGGGCGUAAAGGGCUCGUAGGCGGCCAACUAAGUCAGACGUGAAAUCCCCUCGGCUUAACCGGGGAACUGCGUCUGAUACUGGAUGGCUUGAGUUCGGGGAGAGGGAUGCGGAAUUCCAGGUGUAGCGGGUGAAAUGCGUAGAUAUCUGGAGGAACACCGGUGGCGAAGGCGGCGUUCUGGGACUGCAACUGACACUGAGGAACGAAAGCCAGGGGAGCAAACGGG